rnacentral:rRNA from 1 species
AGAACGAACGCUGGCGGCAUGCCUAACACAUGCAAGUCGAACGGGACCUUCGGGUCUAGUGGCGCACGGGUGCGUAACGCGUGGGGAUCUGCCCUUAGGUACGGAAUAACUCAGGGAAACUUGAGCUAAUACCGUAUAAUGACUUCGGUCCAAAGAUUUAUCGCCUAGGGAUGAACCCGCGUAGGAUUAGCUUGUUGGUGAGGUAAAGGCUCACCAAGGCGACGAUCCUUAGCUGGUCUGAGAGGAUGAUCAGCCACACUGGGACUGAGACACGGCCCAGACUCCUACGGGAGGCAGCAGGUGGGGAAUAGUUGGAACAAGUGGGACGAAAGCCUAGACUCCAGCAAUGCCGCGUAGAGUGAGUGGAACGGCCGUUUAGGGUUA